UACGGAGGGGGGCGAGCGUUAUUCGGAAUUAUUGGGCGUAAAGGGCGCGUAGGCGGCUUGAUAAGUCAAAGGUGAAAUCCCUCGGCUCAACUGAGGAACUGCCUUUGAAACUGUCAGACUUGAGGCCGGGAGGGGGUAGCGGAAUUCCCAGUGUAGCGGUGAAAUGCGUAGAUAUUGGGAGGAACACCGGUGGCGAAGGCGGCUACCUGGACCGGUUCUGACGCUGAUGCGCGAAAGCGUGGGUAGCAAACAGG
rnacentral:rRNA from 1 species